rnacentral:rRNA from 1 species
UACGAAGGGGGCUAGCGUUGCUCGGAAUCACUGGGCGUAAAGCGCUUGUAGGCGGAUCGUUAAGUCAGGGGUGAAAUCCCGAGGCUCAACCUCGGAACUGCCUUUGAUACUGGCGAUCUUUGAGUCCGGGAGAGGUGAGUGGAACUCCGAGUGUAGAGGUGAAAUUCGUAGAUAUUCGGAAGAACACCAGUGGCGAAGGCGGCUCACUGGCCCGGUACUGACGCUUAAGAGCGAAAGCGUGGGGAGCAAACAGG